ensembl:rRNA 5S_rRNA 5S ribosomal RNA
GUCUAUGGCAAUACCACCCUGAACGUGCCCCAUCUCGUCUGAUUUCGGAAGGUAAGCAGGGUAGCACCUAGUUAGUCUUUGGAUGGGAGACCACUUGGGAAUAUCGGGUGCUGUAGUCA